AUCACUUCGAGUCGGAGAGGGUAAGCGCAGCGCGCACGCUUCCGUCUGGGCCCGGCCCGGCCCGCUCGGUUUCUUCUUCUUCCUCUAUAUAAUGCGGCCCGGCGGCACCCGGAUAUCUCCCCCAAUGUUCUCUCUCCCACAGAUCCCCUCUUCUCGCUAGGGUUAGGUCUCCCCCGGCGCGGCGCAAUCCGCAAAUCUCGACGACGGCGCCGAGCAGCGAGCGAAUCCACUCGAUCUAGUCCCGCGCCGACGAGCCCAUGGCGACGGCGGUGCUCAGAUCCCACGACGCGCUCGCCAACCGGAUGCAUCUCGACGCCUUCGCCGCGUCCCCCCAGGCCGCCAAGCAGCGCCGCCGGCGCCACCCCAAGCCGGCCUCGCCGCCUCCCAAGGUGGUCGCGGUGGUUGCUGGCUCUUCGCCGCCAAAGCCGGCUCUUUUGGCGUCGCCGGCGACGAAGCAGGCCCCCGCGGCCGGCCGUCGGUCCCCGCCGGCGAAGCCUGCCCGCAAGCAGCCUUCCCCGACCAAGGAGAAGCCCCGGCAGCAGCCGAUCGUGAUGGAGGCCGUCCGGAUCCUCAAGCGCGGCGAGGAGCCCCCGGCUCCCUCCCCCGCCCCUGCGCCUGUCCAGGCACGGGCGCAAGCCCCGCCGGCCGACAGGCGGGUGCGGUCUCCCUCCCCUGCCUCACCGCCCGUCGUCAAGGCCCGGCCCCAAGCCCCGCCUGCGGACAGGCGCGUGCGGUCUCCUCCCCCAGCCACAGCACCCAUCCCGGCCCGGGCGCAAGCCCCGCCGGCCGACAAGAGGGUGCUCCGGACCACCAGCCGGAUCGGCCCGCAGCAACCCGCCGUCGUGCCAACCAAGAAGAUGGUGCCGCUCGCCGUCGCAGCCAGCUACGCCGGCCCGGCGUUCUCGGCCGCGGCCCCGGAGCCGAGCUCUCUCCCCCUCCCUGGGUUCUUCUUCCGCCGCGCCGAGGAAGAGGCCACCCGCGGCCUCCGCUGCCUGCUCCGCAUCGGCGAGCUCUCAUGAUGACGGCUCCCCCUCCAGCAGCGUCGUGUGCGCCCCCUCCGCGGCCGCGCCGUUCUGCUCUGCUCCCUCCUCCCCCUCGUCUCGCCUCAUCUCGUCGGAAGCAACAAGAAGAAGAGGUGGUGGUGGUAAUAACUCUCCCUGACUGAAGGACGGAAGGAUUUUAUCUGUGGAUGGUUGGUGUGCGGAUGGAUCCGGCGGCGAGCUUGCCGGAUCAGAUCCCGGCUCCGUUCCGAUCGAACCCUUCCGGUAUUUUUUCAGAGGAAGGGUCGUCGAGGGAGCGGAGGUCCGGCGGUAGGGUUUGGUGGUGGUUGCUUUAGGUUCGCGCGUUGCUGCUGCUGCACAGCUGUUUGGUUCGCCUUGAUGUUGUUAGGUAGGUUGUUAAUUGUCGGUCAGUCAGAACGAUUAAGGGUUGGUUCUUGGUUUAGGUGACGAUGAUCUGGUAGCUAGGGAGUGGGUCUCAGGUUUGGUUACAGUGAUGAUAAUAAUUGAAGUUUAUGUGUGCGUGUGUGCGGGUCGAAGAUUAAGGGUAAGGUAUGAGUUAUUAUGAGUGCAAAGUUAUAUAUGCUGAGAGAUGAGUAUGGUAGUUGCAUCAGCUGAGCUAUGUGUAGUUGGUGUAGCGACUGAGAAGUGUGUCUAGUUGCAUCCGCUAGGCUAUGUGUAGUUGGUUUAGCAACUGAGUUAAUGUUAGUUCCAAGAGUUGUUCAUGGUCCUUUGUAAGAUAUCCAAAAGUCUGUGUCUGUAUUGGUCGAUCAUAGUGUUAUAAUUCGUGAAAUAAAAUAUAUCAGUGGUAGAUUAUAUGAGCUCUUGUCUUCAUGGUGUGUGAUCAUCUGUUCUUCAUUCUUGUUCAUAGUGAUUUGUUUAACUCGCGC
rnacentral:rRNA from 1 species